UUUCUAGACAAAGAAGUUCACCCCUUUCCGGUCCCUUUAAGUGGAUCUUGCUUGUCUGCAGACACCCACCCUCACUUGAGUAAAAGCCACGCAGUCGCGGCGUGACAGAGGAACGGUGAAGACAGCGAAAGCGUGUGUUUGGAGGGCAGGACGGGGAUUGGGCGCCCUCCGGGCGAAGAGCUCCCUGUGGAAGAGGUAGAGUCAGCAAUGGAAGCAGUUUGGGUCUGGACGUGGAAGCUGCCUGCCCACUCGGCACACCCACGUUGGACGAUUAGCUGCAGGCUCCC
rnacentral:lncRNA from 1 species